UACAGAGACUGCAAGCGUUAUUCGGAUUCACUGGGCGUAAAGGGUGCGCAGGCGGCCGUGUGUGUGAGGCGUGAAAGCCCGGGGCUUAACCCCGGAAUUGCACCUCAAACUACACGGCUAGAGCAUUGGAGAGGGUAACGGAAUUCACGGUGUAGCAGUGAAAUGCGUAGAUAUCAUGAGGAAUACCAGAGGCGAAGGCGGCUACCUGGACAAUUGCUGACGCUCAGGCACGAAAGCGUGGGGAGCAAAAGGG
rnacentral:rRNA from 1 species